AGAGAAAGGAGAGGUAAAAAUGUUGUACAUCAGCUCUCAGUAACCUUAGAAGAUUUAUAUAAUGGUGCAACAAGAAAACUGGCUCUGCAAAAGAAUGUGAUUUGUGACAAAUGUGAAGGCCGAGGUGGUAAGAAAGGAGCAGUAGAGUGCUGUCCCAAUUGCUGAGGUACUGGAAUGCAAAUAAGAAUUCAUCAGAUAGGACCUGGAAUGGUCCAGCAAAUUCAAUUAGUGUGCAUGGAGUGCCAGGGCCAUGGGGAACGGAUCAGUCCUAAAGACAGAUGUAAAAGCUGCAAUGGAAGGAAGAUAGUUCGAGAAAAUAAGAUUCUAGAAGUUCAUAUUGACAAAGGCAUGAAAGAUGGCCAGAAGAUAACAUUCCAUGGUGAAGGAGACCAAGAACCAGGACUAGAGCCAGGAGAUAUUAUCAUUGUGUUAGAUCAGAAGGACCAUGCUGUUUUUACUCGACGAGGAGAAGACCUUUUCAUGUGUAUGGACAUACAGCUGGUUGAAGCAUUAUGUGGCUUCCAGAAGCCAAUAUCUACUCUUGACAACCGAACCAUAGUCAUCACCUCUCAUCCAGGUCAGAUUGUCAAGCAUGGAGAUAUCAAGUGUGUGCUAAAUGAAGGCAUGCCAAUUUAUCGUAGACCAUAUGAAAAGGGUCGCCUAAUCAUCGAAUUUAAGGUAAAUUUUCCUGAAAAUGGCUUUCUUUCUCCUGAUAAACUGUCUUUGCUGGAAAAACUCCUACCUGAGAGGAAGGAAGUAGAAGAGACUGAUGAAAUGGAUCAAGUAGAACUAGUGGACUUUGAUCCAAAUCAAGAGAGACGGCGCCAUUACAAUGGAGAAGCAUAUGAGGAUGAUGAACAUCAUCCCAGAGGUGGUGUUCAGUGUCAAACCUCUUAAUGAGGCCAGUGAAUGAGACUCACUGCUGACAUUUUAUAUGCAGUAGUGAAAUGAGUGAAGGACUAUAAUCAUAAUACGCUCACUACUUACUAUUGUUUUUCUUAUAAUAUUCAACUAUAGUAGUGUUUUAAAAGUUAAACGAAUAAACGCAAAUAUAAAAGCUGACUUUGCCCUGUAUGUAUGAUGACUUCAGUGUGCAAGGUGAAAUUUAAUACCUGUAAAAAUUACUUUAAGAAAAAGUUCCCCUAGCAUUUAUUAGGCUAAACCUUGUAAUUGAUUUCAGCUAUGUAUGUGGACAAGCUUACACUGAAAUGCUAGGUGUAUGUAUUGGCUUCAUUAUGACCCUUCAUUGUUAAGCUAUGAAAUUAAAACUCUGUAUUUAACUGGCAAUCAGAAAAAGAAAACUUAAAUUUGUAGACACAUGUUGGUCUGUAUAGUUAAUUUGUAUUAGGUGGGAUUCAUUGUGAUGCCUCUGAAUUUAUUUUGCCUCAGCUGUUACUUGAAGAUGGCAUACUACAUAAUCUAGCCCAUGGUAUCAGUGAUAGAAAAGAUGCCUUUCAAAAGAAGGGGUUUAUCAUAAUAUGCUGCUUCUUGAGGGCUUGCACUUCUAGAGUUGCAUUCCCUCUGUGCCAUCCAUAUAUAAUAUAUCCAUAUAUAUGUAACUUGACCAGUCUUGGUUAUUUUUUCCCUCUUCUCUUUGGACCAUGAUAAGCCCCCCUGAGUAGUAACUUCCAAAAGUGGAUAAUUUAGAAGUUGAAGAAGAGACCUUUACAUGGAGAGGUAAUUUGCAUGCAUAAUAUAGGAAGGUCUUCUUUAGGUAUGUUACAGGCUUACUUUAAACCAUUUGACUUAUGCUCCAAAGUAACUGUAAUUCAAUGUUGGUAGUAUAGCAAACAAUGAAUAGCUUUAAUUGUAUGUUUAAAAGUCUCAUUGAUGUGUUCACAUGCUUAAAUCUGGGUAUCAGAAUAUAAGCAGUUCUUGAAAUGUAUGAAUGUCUCUUUAAUAUACUGGUUACAAACCA